rnacentral:rRNA from 1 species
CUUUUUUGGAGAGUUUGAUCUUGGCUCAGGACGAACGCUGGCGGCGUGCCUAAUACAUGCAAGUCGAGCGCGGGAAGCAAGUUGAUCCCUUCGGGGUGAAACUUGUGGAACGAGCGGCGGACGGGUGAGUAACACGUGGGCAACCUGCCUGUAAGACUGGGAUAACUCGCGGAAACGUGAGCUAAUACCGGAUAAUACUUUUUA